UUGUUAGGGUUUUGAUUUCUGUUGGCAUCCGUUUGGGUGUUGGAUUCUGACCCCUCUAUCCCUCUUUCGGACGCUCACUCGCUUAUCAAUCCGACGCGUUCGUCGCGGAUCACACCCUUCCGGAGCUCGAGAUAUCAGGGUUCAGGUUCGCGCUGAGUAGGAAGUCUCGGCACAGCUCCAAAAUUGAUCAGUGACAACGGAUUUCUGUCCCUAGCUUGAUCAGGUUUUUUUUUUCUAUCUCUCUCCCUCUUAAUUGCUCUGUCUCAUGCACGAAUUGACGCACUCCCUCUCUUAAAUAGUUCUCUGUGUGGUAUAUGCAGAUAAAUAGAAAAUAUGAUGAUGUUGGAAUUGCUCUUGAUUGUUCUUAGCAUUUUUGUAGUUGUAAUAGUUACGAGUUUACCUAUAUCAGAUGCUGACCUGUGGAGGAACAUUGUUGGGAUUAUGAGUUUUAUCUCCAACAUAUUUCUUUCAAAUUUGAUGAUGUAUUGAAUCAAAAUUUUGUUUUCUAGUUGUUACCUUCGGUGUGAUUGGAUAUUAGAAUUUAGAUGGGUAGGGAUAUAUCUUUAGCCACAGCAAUAAAGAAAUUUAAAUGUCUUGAAACAGGAAGCAUGUCAUCUUGCUUGUUCACUUCAUUCGGUGGUCAUUUUCAAGUUCCAUAGGACCGAUAGAUGUAUCCCUGCAUUUGAUUUUCCUGAUUGGCCUUGUUCAGAAAUGUAAGAAAGGUGCCUGCAUUUGAUUUUCCUGUUUGGCCUUGUUCAGAAAUGUAAGAAAGGUGGCUAGCUUAACUCCCACUUUUGUAGAUAUAAGAAAGGUAGAUUGCUGUUUUUACCUCUUUUUAUAUGUCAAUGCUGGUGCCAUAUCUUGAUGUUACCUAAGCUUUUAACCUCUUAGUCCAGAAAGGUCCUGAAUUUUUCUCAUCUAUAUAGACGCUCACUUUAAAUACAUGGGUCAUCAUUCAACUACUUCCCGUUCUCUUGAUAGAUCUGGUUUAUGAGAAAGAGCAUAAGCUUAGGUUUAUGAUGAAAAUGUGUGGUUUUAGUGAUCCAUUUUGGCUGAUUUCCUAUGCUUAUUUUCUCUCCUUAUCUUCAAUCUACAUGCUGUGCUUUGUGAUUUUUGGCUCAAUCAUAAAUAGUUAAUUCCCAUUGCAUUAUGUUUACCUACGUUCCGAUGUCCCAUUAAAGUUGCAAUGCUUGUGUCUUACCGCAUUUCCCGUAUAAAGUUUACUAGAAUGCAAUCAUGUGUGCUUUUAGUGGGUUAAAUGGAGAUCACGUGUAAUUGAUGUUUGCUGUUCAUGCGUAAAUUUGCUGAUAUUGAAAUUUGGAAUUUGUCUUGGUCUAGAAAGCAUGCUUUGUUUCUAUAACCUCGAAUACUUGUGAAUUUAAUACAAAUUUUUGUGUGAGGAGUUUGGGAUUAGGUCCUUCAUGAAAGUUGUCCUUCACAUAAAAACUAAAAAAGGGGUUGUAUGUUUGCCUUGCUGCUCUAUUCUACUUUCAAUUGACUUUGAUCUCUUCCAAGAUGUUAUAAAUUCACGUGUCUAGAAUUUUAGGAUGUUUCUUCAUGAAAUUUGUUCCUCAUAUGCUGAUUCACCUGCCAUAGAAAUUUUAGGAUGAAAUAGCUGACGAUUGCGUUUUUAUUGAGCCUAUGUUGAGUGUCUAGUUUCUAUGAUGAAGAAUUUAGAUGUGACAUAUAAUAAUGAUGAAUCUUGGGAUACCACUUAGAAUUUGAUCUAGAAGACUUUGUGACUUUAGUCACUCUUUGUGAACAUAAAAGAAUGUCUUGCUUUUGAUUGUUUCGAUACGUGAUGAUUGUUUCUUUCAUUUGUAUGCACCUAGUCAUAAAUUUCUUAGAUUAGGUUUAGAUUAGGACCUUGAGGAUGGAGAAGGCAUGAAGGUGGUGGAGGUCGAUGUCCAUUCCGACCAUUGUCUUGUACUUUUUGUUUUCCCGACACAUGUCUCGGGUUUUAUGCAUUGUAUAAAGCCCGACGAGUUGCGGGUUUCCUUUCUUUCUCGUUUGUUUUCUCUUUUAUAUUUUUUAGGAUUGCCUGAUAGAUUUACUGUUUUUCCUUGAUUGCUUACUUAACGUUUUGCAAUUUCAAUUUCAUUGGUUGUUUUCCUUUUUA